UCCCUAAGUCCGCCACGCGAGUCCCUUGCCUCCUCAACCCCUGAAUCUGCCACACGUUUCCCCUGCCCCCUCGAUCUCUGAAUUCACCGCAUGAGUCUCCUGUCCCUUCAAUUUCUGAAGAAUCCGCCACACAAGUCCCCCAGCCACCUCAAUCUCUGAAUCCGCCACCAGAUAUCAAUAAUUACAACAAUAGUACAGAGUCAUUCAAUAUGAAUGUGUAUCACUUUGUGAAUAGGAUCACAAGCAGAUUGUUAGUAAAUAUGUGACAUGAAAGCAUCAGCUACAGUGACAUGGACCCGCUGUUGGUCUGCUGACUUGAAACUCGGUCGUCAACUGAAAAUUCGGACCACUCAAAUGAUCAAUGUCCAUAGAAGUACUAGUAGCAUGAAAUAUACCCCACGCUGAUUGUACAAAUGUACAAUGCUUUUUUUUUUUCAUGCCCCCAUAUUACAAGAAAACCCGGACACGUAUAAUUUAAUCCGUUGUUAUGUGAAGUUGAAAGUUGAUUUUCGUAUCAGGGGUUUUAUCGGCAUCAUUAUUAACAAAACAGAGAAUCCUGCUUUUGCCAAUAUAUCCAAAUUUGUCCAGAAACGGAAAUCAGAGGAAAAGAUCCUUGGUGACAAUUGUGUCCACAUUACUAUUCAGUCAUGCGUUGGCUGUAAGUAUCGUUCUUUUCGGAGUUUUAUCUGCUGUCCAUGGGGCGUAUAUAACAACGAUUUUUGUCAAGUGGUCCAUCCUUACGAUAUUCAUCACGUUCGGAUUGUUGGCGUCGUUGGUGUUACUAAUUUCCCGCUGUCGGAUACGAUUGCCGACAGGUACACAAGUUCAAGAACGAGAUCCAUCAUUGAACUUACAGUUGGUAUUCUUAUGGAUAUUCGGAUUGGCAAAUAUGAUCCAUUUUUGUAUAAACUUAUCCAUAUAUCUAGGAUGUAUGGCAAAGACUCAGAACGACUCUGGUCACUAUUCAUUCAUGAUAUUCGUCAACAUCAUUUAUGUGAUGUUCACCAUAUUUCAGAUGACGUUCAUUACUUAUAACAGAAACGAACAACUUCAACGAAUGUAUCAUCUUCGGGUUUCGUGUGUUUUCAUUCUUCUAGCAAACUUCUCAAUUUGGUACAGUUCAACAGUGAACAAUAUGUUUGCAAACGGAUAUGUCACAGAAGAGCGUAAUAGAUCGUGUUUUCACAAUUCCGAAAUUGAGAGAAAACUGGGAAGUCGUAUAUCUCCAAUCCUGCUGCCUCCUCAGCUCGAAUUUUGCAUCCUUGCUUCAACUCUUCUUAUGUCGCUUUGGGAAAAUCCGAAAGAGUCACAGACAUCAAGAAAUACAUUUGCGUUUGAUACAGCUGAUCAUACACAACCACAGUCCACCCUUCCGCAGAAUGAAAGUAUCGCGUUUAGUCAUAUUCUCGCUCUUAUUUUUGGAAUUUUGAUAAAUGUACCAAUAUUGGUAUCAACUGUUGUGCUGACGUAUGUGUAUAAUUGGGAGAAUAAAACUGCAAUCCUCGUUUUAGACAUUAGCGAAAGUCUAAGUGCCCUUUGUACCUGCAUCAUCGUGUUUGUUUGUUGUCGAUAUCUGAAUGUAAACUGUGUAUACAGAACAAAGCCGUUGACGACCAGAGAGCAAAUCUUGAUUUUUAGUUCUACCGGGAUAAUGGCGUAUUUUACACUUGGUCUUUUGGCUGGACUGUCAGGUUUUACCUUUAGGAAGUCUACUAUAGUCAGUCGAAUCUUCGGAAUGCUGGAAACGUUCCUCCAGACUUUGUUUUUUAUCAAAUCCGCUCGCUAUGAGAUGGAGAGAAGUGAACAGAGGGUGAUCUCCUGCUGUGGACUGAUGUUGGCGGUCACUAAUUUGAUGUAUUGGCUGCAGGACUCGUACAACAGAAACAUCAUCACAAAGACGCGCUACUUGGGGUACAUGGACUGGAACACUGUGGAACUCACACUAGUGCCUCUGAUGAUAUUCUACAGGUUUUUUUCCGGAAUCAGUGCGUAUGUAAUGUACAAAACAUUUGCACCUCCAUCUUUACACUAAUCGAUGAUUUUGUCAAUAAUAAACAUUUGAAACUUCAUUUGCGCUUUAUUUUUAGUUGAAGGUGUUAACCUUUUAACUUGUCACAAAGACCUAUACCGUACAUAAUAUAAAUGUAAAAACUUAAA